UACGAAGGGGCUAGCGUUGCUCGGAAUCACUGGGCGUAAAGCGCACGUAGGCGGCGUCUUAAGUCAGGGGUGAAAUCCUGGAGCUCAACUCCAGAACUGCCUUUGAUACUGGCGACCUUGAGUCCGGGAGAGGUGAGUGGAACUGCGAGUGUAGAGGUGAAAUUCGUAGAUAUUCGCAAGAACACCAGUGGCGAAGGCGGCUCACUGGCCCGGUACUGACGCUGAGGUGCGAAAGCGUGGGGAGCAAACAGG
rnacentral:rRNA from 1 species